rnacentral:rRNA from 1 species
GACAGAGGGUGCAAACGUUGUUCGGAAUUACUGGGCAUAAAGAGCACGUAGGUGGUCUGCUAAGUCAUGUGUGAAAUCCCCCGGCUCAACCGGGGAAGUUGCGCCUGAUACUGGUAGGCUUGAGGUCGGUAGGGGUGAGUGGAACUCCAGGUGUAGCAGUGAAAUGCGUAGAUAUGUGGAGGAACACCGAUGGCGAAGGCAGCCCCCUGGGCCGAUACUGACACUGAGGUGCGAAAGCGUGGGGAGCAAA